UGCAGAAGGUUUACAACAACUCCAACUCUG
rnacentral:piRNA from 1 species